GAUGAACGCUGGCGGCGUGCUUAACACAUGCAAGUCGAACGGUGAAGGCGGAGCUUGCUCUGCUGGAUCAGUGGCGAACGGGUGAGUAACACGUGAGCAACCUGCCCCUGACUCUGGAAUAAGCGCUGAAACGGCGUCUAAUACUGGAUACGAGAAGGGUCCGCAUGGGCACCUUCUGGAAAGUUUUUCGGUUGGGGAUGGGCUCGCGGGCUAUCAGCCUGUUGGUGGGGUAAUGGCUCACCAAGGCGACGACGGGGAGCCGGCCUGAGAGGGCGACCGGCCACACUGGGACUGGGACACGGCCCAGAAUCCUACGGGAGGCAGCAGUGGGGAAUAUUGCACAAUGGGCGAAAGCCUGAUGCAGCGACGCCGCGUGAGGGAUGACGGCCUUCGGGUUGUAAACCUCUUUCAGCAGGGAAGAAGCGAAAGUGACGGUACCUGCAGAAGAAGCACCGGCUAACUACGUG
rnacentral:rRNA from 1 species